UACGAAGGGGGCUAGCGUUGCUCGGAAUCACUGGGCGUAAAGCGCACGUAGGCGGAUUGUUAAGUCAGGGGUGAAAUCCUGGAGCUCAACUCCAGAACUGCCUUUGAUACUGGCGAUCUUGAGUCCGGGAGAGGUGAGUGGAACUGCGAGUGUAGAGGUGAAAUUCGUAGAUAUUCGCAAGAACACCAGUGGCGAAGGCGGCUCACUGGCCCGGUACUGACGCUGAGGCACGGAAAGCGUGGGGAGCAAACAGGGA
rnacentral:rRNA from 1 species